rnacentral:misc_RNA from 1 species
GCAAACUUGGUCAUUUAGAGGAAGUAAAAGUCGUAACAAGGUUUCCGUAGGUGAACCUGCGGAAGGAUCAUUAUUGAAUCAUAGUAGGUUGUGCUGGCUCUAUCUGAACAAGUGCACGCCUGCUCCAAAAUAUUCAAACCUCUGUGCACUUUUCAUAGAAUAGCUUGUAAAUUGAGUGACUUGCGUCAUUUGGCUUGCAGCUACUCUGUGUCUUUUUAUAAACUUUUAUUAUCAGUUUAGAAUGUCUUUGUGUAAAUACACAUUUUUAUACAACUUUCAGCAACGGAUCUCUUGGCUCUCGCAUCGAUGAAGAACGCAGC